rnacentral:rRNA from 1 species
GAUGAACGCUGGCGGCGUGCCUAAUACAUGCAAGUCGAGCGAACAGACGAGGAGCUUGCUCCUCUGACGUUAGCGGCGGACGGGUGAGUAACACGUGGAUAACCUACCUAUAAGACUGGGAUAACUUCGGGAAACCGGAGCUAAUACCGGAUAAUAUAUUGAACCGCAUGGUUCAAUAGUGAAAGACGGUUUUGCUGUCACUUAUAGAUGGAUCCGCGCCGCAUUAGCUAGUUGGUAAGGUAACGGCUUACCAAGGCGACGAUGCGUAGCCGACCUGAGAGGGUGAUCGGCCACACUGGAACUGAGACACGGUCCAGACUCCUACGGGAGGCAGCAGUAGGGAAUCGUCCGCAAUGGGCGAAAGCCUGACGGAGCAACGCCGCGUGAGUGAUGAAGGUCUUCGGAUCGUAAAACUCUGUUAUUAGGGAAGAACAAAUGUGUAAGUAACUAUGCACGUCGUGACGGUACCUAAUCAGAAAGCCACGGCUAACUACGUG